AUCUUAUCUAGAGUGGCAGAGGGACUGGCCCUAUGAAGCCACAGCAACCGGUCUUGUCCAGCAAAUCAGCUGAGACGGGAUGCAGGUGCUAAUUCCUGUCUCAUAAAUUGGGAAAAGAUAAGGU
rnacentral:ncRNA from 2 species